UACGGGGGGGGCAAGCGUUGUUCGGAAUUACUGGGCGUAAAGGGCUCGUAGGCGGCCAAUUAAGUCAGACGUGAAAUCCCUCGGCUCAACCGGGGAACUGCGUCUGAUACUGAUUGGCUUGAGUUCAGGAGAGGGAUGCGGAAUUCCAGGUGUAGCGGUGAAAUGCGUAGAUAUCUGGAGGAACACCGGUGGCGAAGGCGGCAUCCUGGACCGACACUGACGCUGAGGAGCGAAAGCCAGGGGAGCAAACAGG
rnacentral:rRNA from 1 species